GGUUAAGCGACUAAGCGUACACGGUGGAUGCCCUGGCAGUCAGAGGCGAUGAAGGACGUGCUAAUCUGCGAUAAGCGUCGGUAAGGUGAUAUGAACCGUUAUAACCGGCGAUUUCCGAAUGGGGAAACCCAGUGUGUUUCGACACACUAUCAUUAACUGAAUCCAUAGGUUAAUGAGGCGAACCGGGGGAACUGAAACAUCUAAGUACCCCGAGGAAAAGAAAUCAACCGAGAUUCCCCCAGUAGCGGCGAGCGAACGGGGAGCAGCCCAGAGCCUGAAUCAGUGUGUGUGUUAGUGGAAGCGUCUGGAAAGGCGCGCGAUACAGGGUGACAGCCCCGUACACAAAAAUGCACAUACUGUGAGCUCGAUGAGUAGGGCGGGACACGUGGUAUCCUGUCUGAAUAUGGGGGGACCAUCCUCCAAGGCUAAAUACUCCUGACUGACCGAUAGUGAACCAGUACCGUGAGGGAAAGGCGAAAAGAACCCCGGCGAGGGGAGUGAAAAAGAACCUGAAACCGUGUACGUACAAGCAGUGGGAGCACGCUUCGGCGUGUGACUGCGUACCUUUUGUAUAAUGGGUCAGCGACUUAUAUUCUGUAGCAAGGUUAACCGAAUAGGGGAGCCGAAGGGAAACCGAGUCUUAACUGGGCGUUAAGUUGCAGGGUAUAGACCCGAAACCCGGUGAUCUAGCCAUGGGCAGGUUGAAGGUUGGGUAACACUAACUGGAGGACCGAACCGACUAAUGUUGAAAAAUUAGCGGAUGACUUGUGGCUGGGGGUGAAAGGCCAAUCAAACCGGGAGAUAGCUGGUUCUCCCCGAAAGCUAUUUAGGUAGCGCCUCGUGAAUUCAUCUCCGGGGGUAGAGCACUGUUUCGGCAAGGGGGUCAUCCCGACUUACCAACCCGAUGCAAACUGCGAAUACCGGAGAAUGUUAUCACGGGAGACACACGGCGGGUGCUAACGUCCGUCGUGAAGAGGGAAACAACCCAGACCGCCAGCUAAGGUCCCAAAGUCAUGGUUAAGUGGGAAACGAUGUGGGAAGGCCCAGACAGCCAGGAUGUUGGCUUAGAAGCAGCCAUCAUUUAAAGAAAGCGUAAUAGCUCACUGGUCGAGUCGGCCUGCGCGGAAGAUGUAACGGGGCUAAACCAUGCACCGAAGCUGCGGCAGCGACACUAUGUGUUGUUGGGUAGGGGAGCGUUCUGUAAGCCUGUGAAGGUGUGCUGUGAGGCAUGCUGGAGGUAUCAGAAGUGCGAAUGCUGACAUAAGUAACGAUAAAGCGGGUGAAAAGCCCGCUCGCCGGAAGACCAAGGGUUCCUGUCCAACGUUAAUCGGGGCAGGGUGAGUCGACCCCUAAGGCGAGGCCGAAAGGCGUAGUCGAUGGGAAACAGGUUAAUAUUCCUGUACUUGGUGUUACUGCGAAGGGGGGACGGAGAAGGCUAUGUUGGCCGGGCGACGGUUGUCCCGGUUUAAGCGUGUAGGCUGGUUUUCCAGGCAAAUCCGGAAAAUCAAGGCUGAGGCGUGAUGACGAGGCACUACGGUGCUGAAGCAACAAAUGCCCUGCUUCCAGGAAAAGCCUCUAAGCAUCAGGUAACAUUAAAUCGUACCCCAAACCGACACAGGUGGUCAGGUAGAGAAUACCAAGGCGCUUGAGAGAACUCGGGUGAAGGAACUAGGCAAAAUGGUGCCGUAACUUCGGGAGAAGGCACGCUGAUAUGUAGGUGAAGUCCCUCGCGGAUGGAGCUGAAAUCAGUCGAAGAUACCAGCUGGCUGCAACUGUUUAUUAAAAACACAGCACUGUGCAAACACGAAAGUGGACGUAUACGGUGUGACGCCUGCCCGGUGCCGGAAGGUUAAUUGAUGGGGUUAGCGGUAACGCGAAGCUCUUGAUCGAAGCCCCGGUAAACGGCGGCCGUAACUAUAACGGUCCUAAGGUAGCGAAAUUCCUUGUCGGGUAAGUUCCGACCUGCACGAAUGGCGUAAUGAUGGCCAGGCUGUCUCCACCCGAGACUCAGUGAAAUUGAACUCGCUGUGAAGAUGCAGUGUACCCGCGGCAAGACGGAAAGACCCCGUGAACCUUUACUAUAGCUUGACACUGAACAUUGAGCCUUGAUGUGUAGGAUAGGUGGGAGGCUUUGAAGUGUGGACGCCAGUCUGCAUGGAGCCGACCUUGAAAUACCACCCUUUAAUGUUUGAUGUUCUAACGUUGACCCGUAAUCCGGGUUGCGGACAGUGUCUGGUGGGUAGUUUGACUGGGGCGGUCUCCUCCUAAAGAGUAACGGAGGAGCACGAAGGUUGGCUAAUCCUGGUCGGACAUCAGGAGGUUAGUGCAAUGGCAUAAGCCAGCUUGACUGCGAGCGUGACGGCGCGAGCAGGUGCGAAAGCAGGUCAUAGUGAUCCGGUGGUUCUGAAUGGAAGGGCCAUCGCUCAACGGAUAAAAGGUACUCCGGGGAUAACAGGCUGAUACCGCCCAAGAGUUCAUAUCGACGGCGGUGUUUGGCACCUCGAUGUCGGCUCAUCACAUCCUGGGGCUGAAGUAGGUCCCAAGGGUAUGGCUGUUCGCCAUUUAAAGUGGUACGCGAGCUGGGUUUAGAACGUCGUGAGACAGUUCGGUCCCUAUCUGCCGUGGGCGCUGGAGAACUGAGGGGGGCUGCUCCUAGUACGAGAGGACCGGAGUGGACGCAUCACUGGUGUUCGGGUUGUCAUGCCAAUGGCACUGCCCGGUAGCUAAAUGCGGAAGAGAUAAGUGCUGAAAGCAUCUAAGCACGAAACUUGCC
rnacentral:rRNA from 1 species